CUUCACGCUCAACCCUCUUCUCUACCUAUGAGAGGUUCUUUAUUUCUGUACUCUGAGUAGUUCUCUGCCUAUUAGAUUCAUCACUAAAAAGUAUUGGAUCGUGUUGAAGAAGAAGUUAACGCACUACCUGAUUGCUGCACCUGCAACCAGAGACUACAAUUUUAUAAGAAAUUAUGCUGAACAAAUCAAUUUCGAGGAGAUGCUAGAAGGGAUUGAAAAAAUUGAUUUAGAUGCGGAAGAAGUCUUGAAAGAAAUUCCGGACAUAUGAAUUAUGGAUUGGAUGAACUAGUACUCAAAUUUAAGUACUCUUUUUUGGCAGCAGAAUUUCCAUUGGCUUGGCACCAGACUUGUUGCAUUUGAUAGUUUACCUUCCGUUGUUGCAAGAAUUAGUAUUUUUUUGUUUCCGUUAAAAAAAACACAAUACUCUUUUGUGU